CAAUAGCGUAUAUUAAAGUUGUUGCAGUUAAAAAGCUCGUAGUUGAAGAUCUGGGUGAAGGCCGUGUCAUUGACACUAGGCCGGACCCCUAUUCACGAGGAAGCCUUAGUGCAUUAACUUGUGCUUUGGUCGAUUCGUGUCGUUUACUGUGAACAAAUUAGGGUGUUUAAAGCAGACCUCUGUUUGUAUACAUUAGCAUGGAAUAAUUAGAUAUGACUUCAGUUAUAUUUUGUUGGUGAUAACUAAAGUAAUGAUUGAUAGGAACAGUCGUGGGUAUUCGUAUGAGCAUGUCAGAGGUGAAAUUCUUGGAUUUUGAUCAGACGAACUACUGCGAAAGCAUUUACCAAGGAUGUUUNCAUUA
rnacentral:rRNA from 1 species